UUUUACAUCAUUGAUCUUAGUGGCAAUUUCAAAUACUAAGCAAAGUAUAAUAUCACGUACUGCGGUGCACAGCUGUCUUGGUAUAGCUGAAAAAACAAGCUCAAGCUCAAAGGAAAAUGUUUAGCGUUCAGAGAGAAAAUACAGCCAGAUUUGAAGAUUGCCAUUAAGAAAAACUUGAAAGAGCAUAGGUACCCCAUGAAUUCCAACUCCAAGCAAUAGCAUGUCGAGAAUUUGUCUUAUUGAACAUU
rnacentral:lncRNA from 1 species